GGUGGCAUCUAUAAUGCAGUCGAGCGAGGGUCUUCGGACCCUAGCGGCGGACGGGUGAGUAACACGUAGGCAACCUGCCUCUCAGACCGGGAUAACAUAGGGAAACUUAUGCUAAUACCGAAUAGGUUUUUGGAUCGCAUGAUCUGAAAAGGAAAGAUGGCGUUUGCUAUCACUGGGAGAUGGGCCUGCGGCGCAUUAGCUAGUUGGUGGGGUAACGGCCUACCAAGGCGACGAUGCGUAGCCGACCUGAGAGGGUGACCGGCCACACUGGGACUGAGACACGGUCCAGGCUCCUACGGGAGGCAGCAGUAGGGAAUAUUCCACAAUGGACGAAAGUCUGAUGGAGCAACGCCGCGUGAACGAUGAAGGUCUUCGGAUUGUAAAGUUCUGUUGUCAGGGACGAAUAAGUACCGUUCGAACAGGGCGGUACCUUGACGGUACCUGACGAGAAAGCCACGGCUAACUACGUGCCAGCAGCCGCGGUAAUACGUAGGUGGCAAGCGUUGUCCGGAAUUAUUGGGCGUAAAGCGCGCGCAGGCGGCUAUGUAAGUCUGGUGUUAUAGCCCGGGGCUCAACUCCGGUUCGCAUCGGAAACUGUGUAGCUUGAGUGCAGAAGAGGAAAGCGGUAUUCCACGUGUAGCGGUGAAAUGCGUAGAGAUGUGGAGGAACACCAGUGGCGAAGGCGGCUUUCUGGUCUGUACUGACGCUGAGCGCGAAAGCGUGGGGAGCAAACAGAUUAGAUACCCUGGUAGUCCACGCCGUAACGAUGAGUGCUAGGUGUUGGGGGGUUUCAUACCCUCGUGCCGCAGCUACGCAUAGCACCUCCGCCUGGGAGUACGCUCCACAGAGUGAACUCCAGAAUGGACUGGGUCCGCACAGCAUGGGACAUGUGUUAAUCCGAGC
rnacentral:rRNA from 1 species